UCCUACGGCCAGCGAGAGAACUGUUGUUAAGGAACUCGGCAAAAUGACCACGUAACAUAGGGAUAAGGGGUGCCACCAUCAGGUGGCCGCAGAGAAUAGGCCCAAGCGACGGUUUACCAAAAACAUAGGUUUCUGCUAAGUCGCAAGACGAUGUAUCGGAGCUGACGCCUGCCCGGUGCUGGAAGGUUAAGGGGAGCUGUUAGAGCAAUCGAAGCAGUGAACUUAAGCCCCAGUACACGGCGGCCGUAACUAUAACGGUCCUAAGGUAGCGAAAUUCCUUGUCGGGUAAGUUCCGACCCGCCCGAAAGGCGUAACGAUUUGUGCACUGUCUCAACAACAGACUCGGUGAAAUUGUAAUUCCGGUGAAGAUGCCGGAUACCUGAGACAGGACGGAAAGACCCCAUGGGGCUUAGCUCU
rnacentral:rRNA from 1 species